CGGAAUCCAUCUUAACCUUUUUAGAACAAGUCUUAUCUUCAACGAUUCUUUUUUUCGAGUUUACGGAAAAAAUGUGGUUUUAUUUUUGCUUUGCAGAUCUUUCUCCACCUCCUAUUAAUAUCAACCAGUCAACGAAUAAUUUGUCAGAAAUCACACCAGAUUAUCACGAUAAACACGAAUCACUGCAAUCAACGAUGAACGAUAGUUUCUCAGAAAUCACACCAGAUUAUCACGUU